AAGGCUUUAGCUUAAUUAAAGUACUUGAAUUGCAAUCAAGAUAUAUGGGGUAAAGUUCUCGUAAGUCUUA
rnacentral:tRNA from 1 species